UACGUAGGUGGCAAGCGUUGUCCGGAUUUACUGGGCGUAAAGGGCGCGUAGGCGGUCAGCACAAGUCAGUUGUGAAAUCUCCGGGCUUAACUCGGAACGGUCAAGUGAUACUGCUGUGCUAGAGUGCGGAAGGGGCAACUGGAAUUCUUGGUGUAGCGGUGAAAUGCGUAGAUAUCAAGAGGAACACCUGCGGCGAAGGCGGGUUGCUGGGCCGACACUGACGCUGAGGCGCGAAAGCUAGGGGAGCGAACGGG
rnacentral:rRNA from 1 species